CAUUAUAUAAAGAAGUCCCCUUGAACUUUCUAUCUCCUUUAGUUUGGUGUUCUGUGAUGUGGGAAUUGCUUCCUACUCAGCUAAACUUCUCAAAAAUCCUGCUUUAUCCUAAACUCUCAAAUUUGCAAACGGGCCAAGCAGGGGAUCAGAGGGUGCCAACUUCAGGAUGCCUUCCAUAAAUAUCCCAAUAAUACUUAUAGGCGGUCUGGCAGGUCUCUGCAUAUGUGCUGUUUCAAGUCUUUUCGAGUACGUGACCAGCCAUAAAGAUGACAAUAGGGAUAUAGGAGCCCAGAAGACAUCCAAAGAGCAUUCAAAGAAGUCCAAGUGAAAUCUACCAUGUAAUUAAGCAAAUCUAAAGAGAACCUUUCACUGGAACCCAAAGAUAUACUCCACCUUCUGGGCUUUCAUAAACCAAGAUCUUCCUUUCCUGACAAAUAAGGAAAUAUCUUACCCAUUGCUUGCACCCUGAAUCUUGUGAUUUGAUGCGGUUUGAUCAAUCAUAGUCUAUUGAAUAAAUAGUAAUCUAAUAUGUAUUUUAACCAAAAGUUCUUCCCAGGGCAUUUAUUGUUUUGUUGUGUGGGCAUCUAUGAAUCUUAUUGUGUAAAUGCUGGUAUUCCCUUGCCUGAGUUUGUAGGUUGGAAGAACAAAUAUCUACAACUGUGAUUUUCAAUAAUCAUUUAUUUACUUAAU
rnacentral:lncRNA from 1 species